UGCCCUAUAGCCAAGUGGUAAGGCAGUGCGCUCUGACCGCAUUACGCGUUAGUUCGAAUCUAACUAGGGCAGCCA
rnacentral:tRNA from 1 species